GACGAACGCUGGCGGCGUGCUUAACACAUGCAAGUCGAACGGAAAGGCCCUGCUUUUGUGGGGUGCUCGAGUGGCGAACGGGUGAGUAACACGUGAGUAACCUGCCCUUGACUUUGGGAUAACUUCAGGAAACUGGGGCUAAUACCGGAUAGGAGCUCCUGCUGCAUGGUGGGGGUUGGAAAGUUUCGGCGGUUGGGGAUGGACUCGCGGCUUAUCAGCUUGUUGGUGGGGUAGUGGCUUACCAAGGCUUUGACGGGUAGCCGGCCUGAGAGGGUGACCGGCCACAUUGGGACUGAGAUACGGCCCAGACUCCUACAGGAGGCAGCAGUGGGGAAUAUCGCACAAUGGGCGGAAGCCUGAUGCAGCAACGCCGCGUGCGGGAUGACGGCCUUCGGGUUGUAAACCGCUUUCGCCUGUGACGAAGCGUGAGUGACGGUAAUGGGUAAAGAAGCACCGGCUAACUACGUG
rnacentral:rRNA from 1 species